AUGUUUUCAAUCAUGUUCAUAAGCAAGCAAAGGCCUCAUGCUUUUUUACAACAUAAACUGAAUCUCAAGUUUCAAUCAUGGGCCAGAGAUUUCUAUUACAAAUCACAAAUCCUAUUUUGGGUUUGGUUCACAAAAGAAAAGGUUCGAAAAGUAACAUAUAAAAAAAACUAUGAAACAAUUCACACCAAUAUCAGCUGA